GCCUCUCUAUCCCAACUGGCAGAGGAGCUGGAUUCAGAAUCCAGAUGUUCGGGGUUCGAAUCCCCGGAGAGGCAC
rnacentral:tRNA from 1 species